GUGUCAGCCGCCGCGGUAAUACGGGGGGAGCGAGCGUUGUCCGGAAUCACUGGGCGUAAAGGGUGUGUAGGCGUCCCGGUAAGUCUCUGGUGAAAGCCUUCCGCUCAACGGAAGAAUUGCCAGAGAUACUGUCGGGAUUGAAUCCGGGAGAGGGGAGCGGAAUUCCUGGUGUAGCGGUGAAAUGCGUAAAUAUCAGGAAGAACGCCAGAGGCGAAGGCGGCUCCCUAGCCCGGUACUGACGCUGAGGCACGAAAGCGUGGGGAGCGAACGGGAUUAGAUACCCCGGUAGUCCACGCCCUAAACGAUGGAUGCUAGGUGUUGGAUCCGAGAGGAUUCAGCGCCGAAGCUAACGCGAUAAGUCGACCGCCUGGGGAGUACGGCCGCAAGGCUAAAACUUAAAGGAAUUGACGGGG
rnacentral:rRNA from 1 species